GCGGCGAACGGGUGAGUAACACGUGGGUAACCUGCCCUGUACUCUGGGAUAAGCCUGGGAAACUAGGUCUAAUACCGGAUAUGACCUGCCUCCGCAUGGUGGUGGGUGGAAAGUUCCGGCGGUACGGGAUGGGCCCGCGGCCUAUCAGCUUGUUGGUGGGGUGAUGGCCUACCAAGGCGACGACGGGUAGCCGGCCUGAGAGGGUGACCGGCCACACUGGGACUGAGACACGGCCCAGACUCCUACGGGAGGCAGCAGUGGGGAAUAUUGCACAAUGGGCGAAAGCCUGAUGCAGCGACGCCGCGUGAGGGAUGACGGCCUUCGGGUUGUAAACCUCUUUCAGCAGGGACGAAGCGCAAGUGACGGUACCUGCAGAAGAAGCACCGGCUAACUACGUGCCAGCAGCCGCGGUAAUACGUAGGGUGCGAGCGUUGUCCGGAAUUAUUGGGCGUAAAGAGCUCGUAGGCGGUUUGUUGCGUCGGCCGUGAAAACUUCACGCUUAACGUGGAGCCUGCGGUCGAUACGGGCAGACUUGAGUUCGGCAGGGGAGACUGGAAUUCCUGGUGUAGCGGUGAAAU
rnacentral:rRNA from 1 species